rnacentral:snoRNA from 1 species
CGAAAUGACGACAUAAGUUUGCUGUGCACCAGUCUGAAGAGAUUUGUACUCUUUCAUUGUGUGGACUUCCUAAUCUAUACCCAAAUUUCUGAUC